rnacentral:rRNA from 1 species
AAAGGGUCCGCAGGCGGAUUUAUAAGUCAGUGGUGAAAUCCUAUCGCUUAACGAUAGAACUGCCAUUGAUACUGUAAGUCUUGAAUUCGGUCGGAGUGGGCGGAAUGUGUAGUGUAGCGGUGAAAUGCAUAGAUAUUACACAGAACACCGAUAGCGAAGGCAGCUCACUAGGCCUGAAUUGACGCUCAGGGACGAAAGCGUGGGGAUCAAACAGGAUUAGAUACCCUGGU